GUACAUAUAUGAAGUACAAACAGGGUAUAUUUUCACUAAGGGUCUAAGAAUAAUCUUAGACCCUUAUAAGGCUGCGUCCCAUUUCUACCCCUUACCCCUCCCCCUUGGUUUGAAGGGGUAAGGGUGUCCCAAUUCUCAUUUGGGUUAAGGGGUAGGGCGAAGACAAAAGGCUACGUAGCCCUUGAAACGAAGCUAUCCAAGGACCACACUUCAAAGGGAGGGCUUCGAGGAAAAUCCGGCCGAAAAUGCAUUUUUACUAGUUGUUAUCAUUCGGACUCAUGAUGUAAAGUUGACUGUAUAUUCAGCUCGAAGUCAUACACGGACAAUGCGAUCUCUGAGCUCGAUAUAAAACAUGACAUAACGGUAAAUAACCGUUGAACUAUACAUACAAGAUUUUGGCGCUCUCUAGUGGCCAACCGAAAUCGCCAAAUAAACAAACAGCAGCGAUGGCUCAAGCGAAGGACACGCACAAAUGGACACCAAAGGAGACCAGACGGCUCAUUAAUUUCAGGGCGACCAGGGACAGUGAGUUCCUAAAAUCGAAAAUGAUCGCCAGAAAACAGUGGGAGCUUUUUCUGGAAGAAAUGGGGGUGGAGGGGAAAGUGACCAGGCAACAGGCUUCUAAGAAGUGGGAGAACCUUAAAAAGAAGUACAAGGCCCGCUCUAUCACAGAACGCACCUUGGAUUGGCGGUAAUUAAAGCGCUGCUGCACCCGCCCAAUCACCGGCUCUUUAUAGGGAGUCAACAGACAGACGGGCGUCUGGAGGCAGGGGUACCCACCAUCACCUAAAAGCAUGUAACCCGGCGGUGGAUACCUGGCAGUCAAAUAAAAAUAACUGUUUUUCAUUACCCUUGUCCUUUAUGUUUCUUGGACGGAAUGUAACUGAUAAUUUCGUUGCUCUGUAACAUGUGCAAUGACAACAAAUAAAAUCCUAUCCUAUCCUAUCCUAUGGCAAUGUUUUGAUAUGUUGAGGGGAGUGUCUUAUGUCUGCAUUUAUUUGAAAGAGCAUAUGCACAGAAAAGCAGACGGACGGAGUUACAAUGGAGAUCCUGCGAGUUUUUAAAGCCAUGUGACGCGCCACAUCACAUAGGGAAGUUAACGCCAGCAUUUCUGACGUUUUUAUCCACUAAUUCAUUAUGUGAGGCAACUCAACGCAACGUAUGCUUGAUCUGAAACAUGCCUACUCGUGGCCUCUGUUGACAUAGCAGUCAGCUGUCCGCAGUCAGCGACGAUGAAGCCACGUAAUGGAGGGGCGUCCCAUUUCUUAGGGGAACGUUUUACCCCUCUGUAUUGAGGGGCAAGGGGAAGGGGUAAGGGGAAGGGGGAAGGGGGAAGGGGGAGGGGGAAGGGGAAGGGGUAAGGGCUAGAAAUGGGAUUGGGCCUUAGUCUAU
rnacentral:lncRNA from 1 species